rnacentral:piRNA from 1 species
AUGGACUGCAGUUACAGGGUAGAAGC